rnacentral:rRNA from 1 species
GACGUAGGGCGCGAGCGUUGUCCGGAUUUAUUGGGCGUAAAGAGCGUGUAGGCGGCCAGGUAGGUCAGCUGUGAAAACUCGAGGCUCAACCUCGAGACGUCGGUUGAAACCACUUGGCUAGAGUCCGGAAGAGGAGAGUGGAAUUCCUGGUGUAGCGGUGAAAUGCGCAGAUAUCAGGAAGAACACCCGUGGCGAAGGCGGCUCUCUGGGACGGUACUGACGCUGAGACGCGAAAGCGUGGGGAGCGAACAGG